rnacentral:rRNA from 1 species
AUUGAACGCUGGCGGCAUGCUUUACACAUGCAAGUCGAACGGAAACAGGCCUUCGGGUGCUGACGAGUGGCGAACGGGUGAGUAAUGCAUCGGAACGUACCCAGAGGUGGGGGAUAACGCAGCGAAAGCUGUGCUAAUACCGCAUGUGAUCUGAGGAUGAAAGCGGGGGACCGAGCAGCAAUGUUUGGCCUCGCGCCUUUGGAGCGGCCGAUGUCGGAUUAGCUAGUUGGUGGGGUAAAGGCCUACCAAGGCGACGAUCCGUAGCUGGUCUGAGAGGACGACCAGCCACACUGGGACUGAGACACGGCCCAGACUCCUACGGGAGGCAGCAGUGGGGAAUUUUGGACAAUGGGCGCAAGCCUGAUCCAGCAAUGCCGCGUGCGGGAAGAAGGCCUUCGGGUUGUAAACCGCUUUUGGCAGGAACGAAACGGUGUCCGCUAAUACCGGGCGCUAAUGACGGUACCUGCAGAAUAAGCACCGGCUAACUACGUG